GACGAACGCUGGCGGCGUGCUUAACACAUGCAAGUCGAACGGAAAGGCCCUGCUUUUGUGGGGUGCUCGAGUGGCGAACGGGUGAGUAACACGUGAGUAACCUGCCCUUGACUUUGGGAUAACUUCAGGAAACUGGGGCUAAUACCGGAUACGAGCUCCUGCUGCAUGGUGGGGGUUGGAAAGUUUCGUCGGUUGGGGAUGGACUCGCGGCUUAUCAGCUUGUUGGUGGGGUAGUGGCUUACCAAGGCUUUGACGGGUAGCCGGCCUGAGAGGGUGACCGGCCACACUGGGACUGAGAUACGGCCCAGACUCCUACGGGAGGCAGCAGUGGGGAAUAUUGCACAAUGGGCGGAAGCCUGAUGCAGCAACGCCGCGUGCGGGAUGACGGCCUUCGGGUUGUAAACCGCUUUCGCCUGUGACGAAGCGUGAGUGACGGUAAUGGGUAAAGAAGCACCGGCUAACUACGUG
rnacentral:rRNA from 1 species